rnacentral:rRNA from 1 species
AUACGGAGGAUCCGAGCGUUAUCCGGAUUUAUUGGGUUUAAAGGGUGCGCAGGCGGGAGAUUAAGUCGGCGGCGAAAUUUUGCAGCUCAACUGUAAAAGUGCCUUCGAAACUGGUUUCCUUGAGUGUAGAUGAAGUAGGCGGAAUUUGUGGUGUAGCGGUGAAAUGCAUAGAUAUCACGAGGAACUCCGAUUGCGCAGGCAGCUUACUAAACUACUACUGACGCUCAGGCACGAAGGCGUGAGGAUCAAACAGGAUUAGAUACCCUGGUAGUCCACGCAGUAAACGAUGGGCGCUCGUCGUCGGCGACAGACAGUCGGCGGCCAAGCGAAAGCGAUAAGCGCCCCACCUGGGGAGUACGGUCGCAAGGCUGAAACUCAAAGGAAUUGGCGGGG